UACGAGGGGGGCAAGCGUUGUUCGGAAUUAUUGGGCGUAAAGGGCGCGUAGGCGGUGCGGUAAGUCACCUGUGAAAACUCUGGGCUCAACUCAGAGCCUGCAGGCGAAACUGCCGUGCUUGAGUGUGGGAGAGGUGCGUGGAAUUCCCGGUGUAGCGGUGAAAUGCGCAGAUAUCGGGAGGAACACCAGUGGCGAAGGCGGAACUCUGGGCCGGAACUGACGCUGAGGAGCGAAAGCGUGGGGAGCGAACAGG
rnacentral:rRNA from 1 species